ensembl:lncRNA
UGGCUGCAUGGAUAUGUGGAAAUACUGCGUACUGGGGGCUUGGUUCGGGGACCAAAGGGAAAUCUCCAAUGAGAACUGAUGUACAGCUGCCACACAGGUUGUGGCCAUGCGGCAGGAGAGAGGCUGGAAAGUAGCAGUGAAUGGGAAGUGAUCUCUGCGUAUUUGCAUCAGGAGAUGUUUACAUGCCCACUCCGGUGGGAGCCAGGUUUCAUGCUGCAUCAGUAGCCUGGCUGCUUAUCAUCAGUUGUGUUUUCCCAAAUGUUGUCUUCCAGCUGAAGCAAUAUUUAGAGCCGGUUUGCAAGAGAAUGAGCUGCCCGUUCUUGCCUCUGUACCUCCAAGAAAUCACUGGGAGCUGAGCAGAUCUGCCAGAUUCUGUGCUGUGAGGUUUGCAUGGCUCUUGCUCUUCUAAAGCCUCUGCAUUUCAGCAGCUCAUGAAAAUCUUCCAGGUGGUAUCUUUGAAUAGCCAUUGGGCUGCUGGCAUGGAAAUAAGUUCCCCUGUUUUGCCUACCAAAUGCCCCGUUUCAACAGUCAUUCAGCAGUUUGGGGAGGUGUAAUGCCCUCUCACAGUGGCUUAGAUCUGUGGCAUUCACACUCCCUGUAAAAAGGCUCUUCUUUCCCCUCCAAGUCCACCCUUGAGGACAGUGGCAAGGGACACCGGCCAGAGGGCGCAGAUUUCGGCAUGCAGAGUCACAGGCAUUCCACUAACUUUGGUUGGGCAGGGAAAGGCCAAGCAUGCAGGACACAGCUGUGGCUCAGAUCGUGCAGGAUGAGCACCUAUGUUUCACGGAUGCCCUGCUGGGACCCAUCUGCUCUGCUGUGGGGCCCACAGGACCUGCAAGACGCUGAGGCCUGUGUUGUGUGAAGAUGGGUUUUGCUUGCUGGAGCUCUGGUUCAUCCCUCUUUGCAGCUAGUGGUGAAUUCUGACACCUGAUAGACAAUGAUAACAAUGGAUGCAACAAUUUGGAGAUAAUCAUUUUCUGCUUACCUAGGAAGAAUAAUUAUUUAAUUACUUGCUGUUACGUGAACAAAGUGUCCUUGCAAAUAUCUUGCUUUAUUUCAUUAAGUUAUAUGGAAAGAAACAUUUGCUUUCUUUUUUCUUCAUUGCAGACGGAACAACGUUACUCUGGACAUCAUCUUUUUCUAAACAGUGCCUCAGUGGGAUGGAGAGGGGUUGGGUCAUUUUUAGACAAACUGUUAGGAGAUUAAUUCCCCAGCACAUGUAGGAGAGAAUUCUUGCUUGUGUUCUUUGUGGCACUGUUCUUGGUGCUCCACCCAAACAUGGCCAUUAAGUCUUUAGUUGUCCUAUGAUUUAGUGAAUCAUAGGACAGUCGAGUUGUCCUAUGAUUUAGUGAACAGUUUAAUCAGCCUAUCCCUGACAUGUUCUAUGUUACAGUCCUUGCAGAGGGCUGAGCAUCAGUUUCCUCAUGGUCACAAGACAGUGGGAGAGCCAAGGAGGGAAAUACCAGGCUUAGGAGCAAGUAGAUGGGAGGGGUAGAGCAAGAGUGAGAGCACGUGAAGCAGGGGAAGGAGGAGGAGGAGGAGAAAGGCAGUGGAAAGGAAGGGUUAGGCCUGGAGCUGGAAGAAGAUGGGAGCUUUUGCUGGAGGACUGGCUGGGCUGUCUCCUUCAUGGAGAAGAUCUUGAAGAGAUGGACAAAAAAAAAAAAUAAUAAUGCCCAUUAGAGUGUUCCCCCCUCCAAGUCUUGGCCUGGAGUCAAAGACUUUCUGUGUAAGCAUCCGUUUGGUUUGAGCAGAUGAACAUGAGAAGUAAUGUUAUUACAGCAUUUUACGACUGAUGUUUAAGGAUCUGCGAGAUGACUGUUAGGUUCUUCAUGUUCUUUUUCUUUAUUAUUUUAAGAACAAGGAAGAUCACUGACUAAACAGUAUUACUGAACAUUAUUAAUCUCGGUAAGUUAAUAAUGAGAAAAUACUGGGUAAUCUUCACAUCUUCCAUUUGUCAUAUUCGUUACAGACCCCUCUUUGGCUCCUCAUUUGUUUCCUAGCUUGCUCAAAGCAGAAGGUAGGCCCAUUAUUUGGGUGAAUCAAAGCUGUGCAACGAAAGAAGCAUUCCUUUGCUCCAGGUCUUAGUGAAAGAGGAACAGUAGGAAGAGAAAGGCCUCUAAGUGCAGAUGAGUGCACUGAUGAGCUUUCCCACGUUCUUGUCUGUGGUUGCCUGUCAGCUUGGCUGGAGGGCCCAGGCACCAGCCUUGUGGAUGGGCUGAGAGCUUGUCCUGAGGAAGGAAAUCACCAUCUAAUGCCAAAAUCCCAUCUGAGAUGCUUCAUUAUGGAAACACUGCAAGAAUGAAAAGGUUGGCCUGAAUCUCUGCACCUGAUCUUCUGGUUUUGAAAUGGGGAAGAUUGGACAUCAUCCAUGCGGACCUGUGGCAUGGGUAGCGCUCUUGUAUCAGCCUGCCUGCAUGCUGGCCAAACCUCUCUGAGGUACCCUACCGCCUAUUUGAAGUGCCAAGGCCUGAACAGCAGGCCUUGAACCAAAGCUGACCUCUAGAUGAAUCUCACAACCACUGAGAGUCACAGUAACAAGUGUGAGGGCAAUCGGUGAUGUAUCUUAAUCACUCUUGCUGUCCUCAUGUAGCAAUGGUUAGGUGCAUUGCCUUGUUCUGUAUUACUCUUGCAGUGUCAUUUAAUUAUCUCAUUGCUUUAAAGUUAAGUAAAGAUAAACCCUCCGUCUUAACUUGCUGUCUGCGGGCUUUGUGCUGACCCCUCCUCUAGCAAAACACUUUUCCAUGCUUACAGCUACACGAGGGAGUGCAAACUGCUGGGCCUACCUCUGCAAACCCCUGCUACGCUCUGAACAGCACAUCUGCUGCCCCUGCAGGGAGGACCGUGCUAGACUUGGCAAAGAAAACUGUGCUUAAAAUUGCACCUGUGUGUGUGCUGAAGCACAUGCAUGUUCCUGUGUAAAGCACCAGAGAAUGCAAGGUACACCUGGCUACGAAGAGAGCUGUGAGUGCCUUCUGCCAUCAGUGAGCUCAGACGUGCAAGGCGCUGAGGAUGGGUUGGUAGCAGCCAGCACGACAGGCUGCUGCUCCAACUCCACGAGUGACAGCUGUAAAGAGCCUUUAUUUCCAAAAUAAAAUGUAAAGCAGGAUAGCCCGGGCUUACUUGUGCUGGUGGAUGAAAUUGAAGUGCUGUUACACAGAGCUCCUUUAGGGAAAAAGUUGUUUUGUUUUAUUUUGUUGUUCUUUUUUUUCCCUAGGCCUUUUUGUUCUCACCACGUCUCUGACCCUUCAUCACCGUGGUAAACCGUGGCAAUAGUGCCCUGCUCACAAACACCUCCAGAAAUUUCCUGGAGCUUUUCCUGGGCCUCUUGCACAGUAUAUAGUCCCAGAUGAGGAAACUGCUUGUGACUAGGUUCAGAACUUUGCUUCUGCAGGGCUACAAAGGCUGUGAAUAGCAGCAGUGCUCCUGCAAAGCCA